CCCUUAGAUGUUCUGGGCCGCACGCGCGCUACACUGAUUCAUGCAACAAGUUUUGUCCUUGGCUGAUAGGCCUGGGUAAUCUUUGAACGUGAAUCGUGAUGGGGAUAGAUGAUUGCAAUUAUUCAUCUUCAACGAGGAAUUCCUAGUAAACGCAAGUCAUCAGCUUGCAUUGAUUACGUCCUUGCCCUUUGUACACACCGCCCGUCGCACCUACCGAUUGAAUGGUCCGGUGAAAUCUUCGGAUCUGAGAGAUGUCUGAUUAAUUUCGGACGCCUUUUGGAAAAGUUGUUUAAACCUUACCAUUUAGAGGAAGGUGAAGUCGUAACA
rnacentral:rRNA from 1 species